rnacentral:rRNA from 1 species
UACGGAAGGCAGCAGUGGGGAAUAUUGCACAAUGGGCGAAAGCCUGAUGCAGCUAUGCCGCGUGUAUGAAGAAGGCCUUAGGGUUGUAAAGUACUUUCAUCGGGGAGGAAAAAACAAAACUAAUAAUUUUAUUUCUUGACGUUACCCGAAAAAGAAGCACCGGCUAACUCCGUGCCAGCAGCCGCGGUAAUACAGAGGGUGCUAGCGUUAAUCAGAAUUACUGGGCGUAAAGAGCACGUAGGUGGUUUUUUUAAGUCAGAUGUGAAAUCCCUGGGCUUAACCUAGGAACUGCAUUUUGAAACUGAAAUACUAGAGUAUCGUAGAGGGAGGUAGAAUUCUAGGUGUAGCGGUGAAAUGCGUAGAUAUCUGGAGGAAUACCUGUGGCGAAAGCGGCCUCCUAAACGAAUACUGACACUGAGGUGCGAAAGCGUGGGGAGCAAAACAGGGAUUAGAUACC